CCAGCUCCGCCUCGGUGGGCUGGGCACACUGCACCUCAACGGCCUGGAUCUGAAUUUGGUCCUGCAGGAUAUGAUAAAGUUUUUGAGGUUUAUUAAAGAAAGCUGCUCCUGUUUGGUGUCUGCCAUCAAAUCAAACAAGACAACACACAGAGUAAGUGGUGCACAGGUCAUCAGAGAGCCAAGUCUCCCCUACAGCCUUCACCUCCCCGUUUGUGAUGCACGACACCUGCAGACCAAUAUUUUGUAAGGAAUGUUCUUGCAGCAUAAGGUUAACUCAAGCUAACAAAGUAAAGGGCAUCUCUGAACUGAAGCUGCUAAUUGGCCUACUACAAGUGUGUCUCUGAUUGUGGAGCGUACCCGUCUGCCUAGCCUUCCCAGUGACUGUCACCUCUCUGUUAUGAAAAGCAAGCCUGCACAGUCUUAUCAAUAUUCUCCCUUCCCAAUGUGAUGAAUCUUCAUGGCAUUUCAGUUGGACAGGUGCCUGUGUGUUUCUGCAUGCACCACCAAGGAACUGGAGGUCACAUGUUGGUGCAAAAUUGAACUUUGUGCACAUUUUCUGCUAAAGAUGCACGGUCUCUAUAGUACUGUGCCUCGCAUGAUGAUAAUACAUAUACAAUGCUGUCUAUCCCCUCUUUAUCAGUCCAUGUUAGACAUAUACUAAUCUUUGACCAGACAUGAUCAUUCAGCUCCAGACAAAGAAAUGGUAAUGUUUUUUUAGUCAACUCAAACUGGAUGUCGUUAGUACAUUUUCUUAG